rnacentral:rRNA from 1 species
AUACGUAGGGUGCAAGCGUUAUCCGGAAUUAUUGGGCGUAAAGCGUUCGUAGGUGGUUUAGAAAGUUUGUAGUUAAAUAUGGUCGCUCAACGAUCAACUCGCAACACAAACUCCUAAACUAGAGAUUGGCAGAGGCAACUGGAAUUCCACAUGUAGGGGUAAAAUCCGUUGAUAUGUGGAGGAACACCAAAAGCGAAGGCAGGUUGCUGGGCCAUUUCUGACGCUGAGGAACGAAAGCGUGGGGAGCAAACAGGAUUAGAAACCCCAGUAGUCC